GCCCCGGCGAGCCGGUGAAGGAUCCCGGCGAAGAGGUGCCGGAGCCGGGGGACGGGGUGCCGGAGGAGCCCAGGGCAGAGCCAGCUCCCUCCGGCGCCGGGCGCCCGCCCGCCCGGGACUCCUCGUACGCCUUCCGCAACAUCCAAAUCAGGAGCGGUCCCCCCCGACAGGCAGCACAGCUCUCAUCCGCAAGUGAGGUGAAGCAUCCAAGGUAGCCUCGGGAAGGCGAAAGAAGGAGCGAGAGCCGCGCUCUCCCAAGCAGAGGCGCUUUCUGCCUCCGCUACAGCGGCAACUUGUUCUCUUCACCAAGAAACGCAUCCUUCCAGCAUCCCUACUGUACCUGGGCCACAACAGCCAUGAGGAAACAGAACCAGCCUGCUGAAUCGCUGAGCAAGGAUUCUCC